rfam:Mycosphaerella graminicola IPO323 chromosome 10, whole genome shotgun sequence.
ACAUACGACCACAGGUACAUGAAAGCUCAGCAUCCCGUCCGAUCUGCUACGACAACCAUGUAACCGCCACACUAGUACUCAAGUUGGUGACAAUUGGGGAAUCCGUGGUGUUGUAUGUU